AACAAGGAUUCCCCUAGUAACGGCGAGUGAAGCGGGAAGAGCUCAAAUUUGAAAUCUGGCAGUCUUCGAUUGUCCGAGUUGUAAUCUAUAGAGGCGUUUUCCGUGCCGGACCGUGUCCAAGUCUCCUGGAAAGGAGUAUCAAAGAGGGUGAUAAUCCCGUACUUAACACGACCACCGGUGCUCUGUGAUACGUCUUCUACGAGUCGAGUUGUUUGGGAAUGCAGCUCAAAAUGGGUGGUGAAUUCCAUCUAAAGCUAAAUAUUGGCGAGAGACCGAUAGCGAACAAGUACCGUGAGGGAAAGAUGAAAAGCACUUUGGAAAGAGAGUUAAACAGUACGUGAAAUUGUUGAAAGGGAAACGAUUGAAGUCAGUCGUGUUCUUUGGAUUCAGCCAGUUCUGCUGGUCUACUUCCUUGGAACGGGUCAACAUCAGUUUUGUCCGGUGGAUAAAGGUAGUAGGAAUGUGACUUCUCCGGAAGUGUUAUAGCCUAUUAUCACAUACACUGGGUGAGACUGAGGACUGCAGCUCGCCUUUAUGGCCGGCCUUCGGGCACGUUCGAGCUUAGGAUGUUGACAUAAUGGCUUUAAACGACCCGU
rnacentral:rRNA from 1 species